rnacentral:rRNA from 1 species
UACGUAGGGGGCAAGCGUUAUCCGGAUUUACUGGGUGCAAAGGGGGCGCAGACGGCAGCGCAAGCCAGGAGUGAAAGCCCGGGGCCCAACCCCGGGACUGCUCUUGGAACUGCGCGGCUGGAGUGCAGGAGGGGCAGGCGGAAUUCCUGGUGUAGCGGUGAAAUGCGUAGAUAUCAGGAGGAACACCGGUGGCGAAGGCGGCCUGCUGGACUGCGACUGACGUUGAGGCCCGAAAGCGUGGGGAGCAAACAGG